UACGUAGGGGGCAAGCGUUGUCCGGAAUCAUUGGGCGUAAAGCGCGUGUAGGCGGUUCGAUAAGUCUGCUGUGAAAGUCCAGGGCUCAACCCUGGGAUGCCGGUGGAUACUGUCGAGCUAGAGUACGGAAGAGGCGAAUGGAAUUCCUGGUGUAGCGGUGAAAUGCGCAGAUAUCAGGAAGAACACCCGUGGCUAAGGCGGUUCUCUAGUACGGUACUGACGCUGAGACGCGAAAGCGUGGGGAGCGAACAGG
rnacentral:rRNA from 1 species